rnacentral:lncRNA from 1 species
UGGGAGACCAGCANGAUUAACACAAAUGAGUGACCAGGGUCUGAGCGUGUGGUAGAAUGUGUGCUCAGCAUGUGCACGGCCGUUUGAUCCGCAGCACCAGGAAAGAAAGAAAGAAAGAAAAAAAAAUGACCCUUUUAAGCUCUCUGAAUUGCCUGGACCCCCUUCUCCUUCUAGCGCUUGGGUUCUUGUGGUUGCUAACAAGAAAGAGUGGUUGUAACUAGAUGUAUUGCAUUCUGACCGUGUUCCAUCUGCUCCAUUGAGUGCCUUACACAGAUAUAUGGCCUUAGGACAGGUGCUGUGAUAACGAUAUUGAGGUACAGAGAACUUAAGUAACUUUUAAAGAUUGCACAGUCAGUUCUUACAGCCAGAAUUUGCACAUAAUCUGGAUCUAGAGUCUGCUCUGAAACCUGGCCCCAAUGAUUCUGAAUUUAUUUUCAGAAACAAAUUCUAAAUCUACCCUUAAACAUGUCUGUAAACACUGUGAC